CUGAGAAACACAGCUUCAGUAGCACGCAUAAGGGCAGAGUCCAGCAUUACAUUGAGACAUAACAAUCUUUAACAAGCAAGUCCUUGGUCUGGAGUUUCUGGUCUUUUUUGCAGCUACAGAAAUUUUUCUGAGGAUUAGAUAAAGCAACAAGAAGCUCACGGUUGCGACCACCCACUGGGAGGAUCUCUGUGCUAUAAUUGUACCUUAGACACACUGCCAGUCAUCUGAAAUGAGCAUUCUUCUCACAGGAUGGCUGAGGUGUCUUCAGUGUCCAUCUGCUCAAACCCUUGCCUGUGCGGGGACACUCAAAGGACUGUCCAGGCAGCUUCUGAAGAUCUCUGUGGAGGAGACACCACAGCUUCCCUGGACAACCUGUGUCAGUGCUCCAUCAUCUACACAACACAGAAGUGCUGCUUGAUUUUCAGUGGGAACUUCCUCUGUUUCAUUUUGUUUCUAAGGGCCCACUGGAAAUAAAUGAAAA